rnacentral:rRNA from 1 species
GACGAACGCUGGCGGCGUGCUUAACACAUGCAAGUCGAACGGUAAGGCUCCAACUUUCUUCGGUUCACGAUUGGCGAACGGGUGAGUAACACGUGUGUGACCUGCCCUGCACUUCGUGAUAAGCCUGGGAAACUGGGUCUAAUACCGGAUAUAAUCUUUUUGUGGAUACUGUUGUGUAAAGUUUUUUCGGUUUGGGCUCGGCUCGCGGCCUAUCCGCUUGUUGGUGGGGUAAUGGCCUGCCAAGGCGGCGACGGGUAGCCGGCCUGUGAGGGUGGACGGCGACAAUGGGCCUGAGAGACGGACCAGACUGCAACGGGAGGCAGCAGUGGGGAAUAUUGCACAACGGGCGGAAGCCUGAUGCAGAGGCGCUGCGUGGGGGAUGACCGCCUUCGGGUUGUAAACUACUUUCACCAUAGACGAAGGGUUCUUGACGGUAGCUGGAGAAGAAGCAACGGCUAACUACGUG